UUUCCGUAGGUGAACCUGCAGAAGGAUCAUUAACAAAUUCAACAAACAAAAACACCUGUGAACCCGUUAUAUUAAUUAAUAAUAGUGGUGAUGUGACACAUUUUGGCGUCAUUAAUCAUCUAUUAUUAUUAUAUAUUAAUAAAAUAGAUUCUUCAUUUUGACUUAUCAAUUAAAAAGUAAUUAAAACAACUUUUAACAAUGGAUCUCUUGGCUCUU
rnacentral:misc_RNA from 1 species